UAUUGGUCAAUAGCCUAACGGCUGAACCAGCAAUUUGAAGGAAUAUAGGUUUAUAACGUUGUAGAACCUUUGUUCAGGAUACUAAAAUGAUAAUGACAAUUUAGUAUUUAUAGUCUUGACCAAAUCACGUGCCAGCAGUCGCGGUAAGACGUGAAAGACGAGUGUUAUUCAUCAUGAAUAGGUUUAAAGGGUACCUAGACGGUAAAUCUUGCCUUUUAAUGGGAACAGAUUUACUAGAGUUUUAUAUGAGAAGGGGAGAAUUAGAGGUGUAGAGAUGAAAUUUUUUGAUACCUCUAGGACUGGUAAUGGCGUAGGCAACCUUCUAAGUAAAAACUGACGUUGAGGGACGAAGGCUUUGGUAACGAACUGGAUUAGAUACCCGAGUAGUCUUAGCAGAAAAUGCUGAAUGCCAUUGGUUAGAGUAAGCAAUACGACUGGCCAAUAAAUGAAAGUGUAAGCAUUCCACCUCAAGAGUAAUACGGCAACGUAGAAACUGAAAUCAUUAGACCGUUUCUGAAACCAGUUGUGAAGCAUGUUAUUUAAUUCGAUGAUCCACGAAAAACCUUACCACAACUUGAAUGUAGAAGGUGUUAGGCCUAAUCCCUUACCCGGGAGUGUAUAGAUACUCUAGGCUGGAGCCGAAGAGUGGAAAUACCGAUACUGAGUUAGGGACCACUCCCCAAUAGGUUUUCUAUCCAAUACACAAGCGUUGCACGGCUGUCUUCAGUUAAUGUCGUGAGAUUUUGGUUAGCUCCAUUUAAUUGACGCAAACCCUUACUUUAUUUAAACCAUUAUAAAGUUGUAUGCAGAUACAAUUGAGUUGAUAAUAGGGACCAAGACAAGUCAUCAUGACCUAAAUGUUGUGGGCUAUA
rnacentral:rRNA from 1 species